GCAGCUCAGAGUGACAACAAACAGCUCCAGCGUGACAAUGGAGAGAUGAGGCGUUCAACAGUACAUGUUUGAGUCCGUUUCAGAUGAAGAUGACGAUUUUAAGGAACAACCAAAUGUUUUAAGAUUGGAAAUGGACGCUUCUGAGUGGUGUACUUGUGGAAAUUGUGCACGCAUGGCCCUCGAGAGAGAAAAUAUAUGUUGCAGGGAAAUACCACAGGUCACAAGAAAAAUGAGAAAAGUGCCUAAUACAAAAUCCUGCAUGACAGACCAUCCUGGCCUUGAACCUGUGUGACUCAAUAUAUACUGUAUUCUUUUUAAAAUGCAAUGAAUGAAUGUAGCAAUGAAUGUAUAUAGAGCUGACCAUGGGCGUUACAGUCAGAGGGAUGGAAAGACCCCGUCUUGACUGAAACGUGACACAUGCAGAGCAACAGCUUCUUCCAUGGAAGGUCUGUCAUGCUGAGAAGACCGGUCCGGAGGCACAGGAAUCUGCUGUAUGCCAUCCAGAUAUGGAAGAGGAUCACGGACAACUUCUUCAAAAACAGUAUUCAUCAAGUUGAUGACACAGCCUGUAAAGUAUAAUAAGUUAUUCAUUUAAACAUUCAUUUUAUUUGCACAUUUGUAAGUGUUGUUUAAAAUAAAUAUUUUUGGGAAAAGCUUAUAAAAUGUUGGCUCUGUUUUUACUGGUUUGACGGUGUGUCCUCCCUCUGGAAA